UCCUUUGCUUGAAUAGCUUCUCUAAUGAAGUGAAACUUUCGACUGAUAUGUCUGGUUUUCUGGUGGUGAACUGGAUUCUUUGCCAUUGCUAUGGCUGAUGUGUUAUCGCACAUGAUUUGAGUUCCUUCAACUUGUUCUUCUCCAAAGUCCUCAAGUACAAACCUCAGCCAUUUUGCUUGGGAAGUAGCUUCAACAGCACUGACAUAUUCUGCUUCUGCAGUGGACAGUGCCACUGUGUUUUGCUUAAUUGAUGCCCAUGAAAACAUACCAGAUCCUAGUGUGAAUGCAUAUCCUGAAGUACGUCUUCUAUCAUCUUCACUUCCUGCCCAGUCAUUGUCACAAUACCCUAUUAAGGUGUUUCUUGGUAGGAUUAUGCAUGAACCUUGCCAAGAGACUUGCUGCAAACAUCACAUCAGGUCUAGUUGCUGUCAAAUAGAGCAAGCUGCCCACAAUCUGUCUAUAUUCUCCUUCAUUUGCAGCUUCACUUCCAUCAAUCUUGCUCAAUCUCUCAUUCAUUGCAAGUGGAGUAGCCACUGCUUUGCAAUCUUUUAAUCCAAACUUCUCAAUCAACUUCUGUGCAUACUUCUUUUGGUGUAUAAAAAUACUCUUCUCGGUUUGUAGUA